CUCGAGCGAGUGGCGAACGGGUGAGUAACGCGUGAGGAACCUGCCUCAAAGAGGGGGACAACAGUUGGAAACGACUGCUAAUACCGCAUAAGCCCACGACCCGGCAUCGGGUUGAGGGAAAAGGAGCGAUCCGCUUUGAGAUGGCCUCGCGUCCGAUUAGCUAGUUGGUGAGGUAACGGCCCACCAAGGCGACGAUCGGUAGCCGGACUGAGAGGUUGAACGGCCACAUUGGGACUGAGACACGGCCCAGACUC
rnacentral:rRNA from 1 species